GCUGGCAUAAUGAUGAUAACUCUUUGCCGUUUACCCAGCUGAUUUUUUUUGUGAUGAGCAAUGUUGUAUCUGAUGUGCCAGC
rnacentral:snoRNA from 1 species